AUUGAACGCUGGCGGCAUGCCUAACACAUGCAAGUCGAACGAGCGGCGGACGGGUGAGUAAUGUAUGGGGACCGCCCGAUAGAGGGGGAUAACUCCUGGAAACCGUGGCUAAAACCGCAUACUGUCGGAUUACGCAUAUGGGAUUAGCUAGUGGCUGAGGUAAUGGCUUACCUAGGCGACGAUCCCUAGCUGGUCUGAGAGGUUGAUCCGCCACACUGGGACUGAGACACGGCCCAGACGCCUACGGAGGCAGCAGGAGGGAAUAUUGCACAAUGGGCGCAAGCCUGAUGCAGCCAUGCCGCGGGUGUGAAGAAGGCCCUAGGGUUGUAAAGUACUGUCAGUCGGGAGGCGUUACCGACAGAAGAAGCACCGGCUAACUCCGUGCCAGCAGCCGCGGUAAUUC
rnacentral:rRNA from 1 species